CGUAAACCGUGAAGUAGAAUAUAGCUUAAUGAAUACAUUUUAUUUCUGACUUGCAUGGGAUCAACGCUAAACUGAACUGAUUCGUUAUUUAAACCAUGUUCCUGACUCCCCUGCGAGGAUGCUUUGGCUUCUUUUGUGCUUCGCGGAUGCUCUUGUUGUGGCCUCAUUUGAAGUGAUUGUCACUGAUAAGCAUCUGCUGGCAAUCCGGGGUGGUUCAGCUGUACUGGGCUGUGUGUUCACACCUGAUCCUGACCUCUCCAACUUGGUGGUUACCUGGCAACGAUCGGAGGACUCGCAGGUUGUCCACAGUUUCUAUUAUCAGCAGGACCAAUUGGACAGACAGAGUCCAGAAUUCCACAAUCGGACGUCACUUUUUAUUUCAGAGCUUCAUAAAGGAAAUGCCUCUCUUAGAAUUGCAGAAGUUAGACCAAAGGAUGCAGGCUUGUACCUGUGCAUAGUGAGCAAUGCAAAGGGAACAGGAAAAGCCUCGAUGAAAGUGACUUAUGGAGCUCUUUACUCUGAGCCCAGGUUAAGCAUGCAUGUAAACUCCUCUGCAUUGACAGUGCAGUUUGAGACGGAGGGAUUCCCCAAACCUGAGGUGAUCUGGCUGGACGAACAUGGCCAGAACCUCAACUAUCACCUGGAGCUCCAUGACCAGACAGAAGAUGGGCUUUAUUUAGUCAAGAGCAGCUAUGAAGCCCAGAAGCCGGCGGUUAAUGUCACAUUUACGCUAAAGAACCACCUCCUGAACCAGAACCUUCAGAGACCCGUGUUCCUCAGCUAUGGAAUUGGCCUAUUGAAGUCACACCAACAGAACACAUUUUAAAUGUCUCCCUUUUCUGACCCAUCAAUUUGAGCUCUUGGAGUCUGUACUACCAGCUGCAUCUUUUUCUCUACACAUUGGUCCACACUAAGAUAAACUAUAUAAUGUGAAAGGAAUCAUAUCUUUCUGAAAUGCAUGCACAGUAAGGUGGAUAGAUAAGGACAAAACUGCAAAUCAAGGCACCAUCGCUCUUGUCCUGUCCGUGGUUUGCGUUUUUCUGGUCAUUGCUAUAAUUUGGUUU